AUUGAACGCUGGCGGCAGGCCUAACACAUGCCAGUCGAGCGGAUGAAGGGAGCUUGCUCCUGGAUUCAGCGGCGGACGGGUGAGUAAUGCCUAGGAAUCUGCCUGGUAGUGGGGGAUAACGUCCGGAAACGGGCGCUAAUACCGCAUACGUCCUGAGGGAGAAAGUGGGGGAUCUUCGGACCUCACGCUAUCAGAUGAGCCUAGGUCGGAUUAGCUAGUUGGUGGGGUAAAGGCCUACCAAGGCGACGAUCCGUAACUGGUCUGAGAGGAUGAUCAGUCACACUGGAACUGAGACACGGUCCAGACUCCUACGGGAGGCAGCAGUAGGGAAUAUUGGACAAUGGGCGAAAGCCUGAUCCAGCCAUGCCGCGUGUGUGAAGAAGGUCUUCGGAUUGUAAAGCACUUUAAGUUGGGAGGAAGGGCAGUAAGUUAAUACCUUGCUGUUUUGACGUUACCAACAGAAUAAGCACCGGCUAACUUCGUG
rnacentral:rRNA from 1 species